rnacentral:rRNA from 1 species
UACGUAGGGGGCGAGCGUUGUCCGGAAUCAUUGGGCGUAGAGCGCGUGUAGGCGGCCCGGUAAGUCCGCUGUGAAAGUCCAGGGCUCAACCCUGGGAUGCCGGUGGAUACUGUCGGGCUCGAGUCCGGAAGAGGCGAGUGGAAUUCCUGGUGUAGCGGUGGAAUGCGCAGAUAUCAGGAGGAACACCAAUAGCGAAGGCAGCUCGCUGGGACGGUACUGACGCUGAGGCGCGAAAGCGUGGGGAGCGAACAGG